rnacentral:sRNA from 1 species
AUACAUUUACAUACACGCACUUAAAGGAAAUUAUAACUAACUGUUUUUCAAUUCAAUUAAUCAGAGAAGAUUUUCGAAAUUUUGCAAGAGUUUGUUUUGAAAAUUUCGGAGACAAAGUUAAGAUGUGGACAACAAUCAACGAGCCUUAUGUUAUAAGUGUUGCGGGCUACGACACGGGCAUCAAAGCGGUUGGACGGUGCUCGAAAUGGGUGAAUAGUCGGUGUCAAGCCGGUGACUCGGCCAUCGAGCCUUACAUUGUAUCACAUCACCUUCUUCUUUCCCAU